rnacentral:lncRNA from 1 species
ACAGGUCUCCAGCAGGGGUGCACACGCCAGCCCCCGAAGGCCAGGACGCCAGGCGCAGGGAUGUACUGGAAAGACAUGACAUGGUCCGGUGUGAUGGCGAGGACAGAGGGACUGCCGUCCGGCCUUCGUGAACACUCUGGCUGGCACCGCGGGGGAGGCUGCCACAGAAGGGUCUGGUCCUUUGCUUUUCCGAAAGAGUUAACACACCACUGCUGCUCUCUGGACCCCCUAGAACCCUCAAGAAAUAAAGAAAUGGUGCUACCCAGCUCACGUCUGGGCCUUCAACUCUGGGGACUUCUUCAAGUCCGUCUAGCUCUGGAUCAAGAAUAUGCUGCGUUUGGGAACCACUGCAUACCUGACUCAGGAAUCGGCUCUGUAGGUGAAGCCGAAGGACCAGGCCUGUGAACACCAAGGCAGAACAGACCCGCAGCACCCGCCGCCAAACCCCAUCCUCGUGGCCACCCCACUGCGCCCAGCGGACCAUCAGCACGCCUCCCUCUGCUUUUCUUCUUCCUCCUUCCCUCCAACCUUGUGUUUCUGUCUUUCUUCCUUCCGUCGUUUGAGAGAUUCAAAGCAUCCGUGACUCUGUUUCCCCACCCGUCCCUUCUGAUUUCAAUUUGCACUAAGUCGUUUGCACUGGUUUGGAGCUCGGGAGAGCCUUGAGUCUCUCUGUGCGCGUGUGCGUGAGUGUGCGGGCCUCCUUGGCCACGCCGCCCCAGCGCCUGCCUGCUGUCCACCUCUGCCUGGGGGCGCCUGGGCGCCGGCCGCGUGCUUGAGGCCUCGCCCCCCCCUCACCUUGUCUGGAAGCUCCACCACAGCGAGCCACCUCAAAGCAUUCCUCACACCACCUUGCCCAGUGCCCCUCCCCACCAGGGCUCACCAGAGUCCUGGCCUCAUCAAUAAACACAGUUACAGCAACUUGUCUCA